AGGACAUACUCAGAUAGUUGGAUAUCCUAACGCUGAUUGGGAAAACUCACCCAUUGUUCGACGAUUUACCUCUGAGUAUUGUUUAUUUGUUGAAGGAAACCUAAUAUCCUAUAAAAGAAAGAAACAUAAUGUAGUUGCAAGAUCAAGUGCUGAGGUAGAAUAUAAGGUUAUGACACUAGUAACAUGUGAGGUUUCAUGAGAGGAACAAACAUUGUCAGAGAGAAGAUAGAAUCAAACGACAUUGUCACAAGUUUUGUCAACUCUAAUGAUCAAUUGGAAGGUAUGUACGCUCUUGUCAUGAAUAGAUUAAAAUGAGUCUUGAGGUCAUUAUAUGGAGAGCCAGCCGUUGAGGUUACAAAUGAAGGUUUUGAUGCUGCAGGGCAUACAAUUGGUACAUCUUUAGAGGUCGUGUUCAAACUUAGGAAGGUUCUCAACCCCAAGAGUGUGAUCAAACCAACAUCACUAGCUAAAGAUUAUUUUGAAUCCAUAACUAACUUGAUCAUCCGAUACUUUGUAGAUACCACACCUUUGCUAUGACCAUGUCAGUCUUGAAGUCCUUAGAGGUUAUUUUUCCUGAAUUUAUUGUAAUUGGUGAUCGGUUCCAUGAGAAUAGAAAGUGAUGCAGGGAACCUUUGAUUUGGAAGUAUAAUUGGGUCUGCAUCCCAGGGAUUUGUCAUUGUCUCAGCUUUACUCGAUACAACAUUGCUGCAGUUCAUUUAAAAUUAUCCAUCUCCUUCUGCAAUCUAUAA